CGUUGUCAUCGGCGUACAGUAGAUGAGAAAUUAGGGGAGCCCCCCUUGGCAAGGAAAAAGGUCUUAUGCUUCCAUCUUCAUAUUUAGCUCUCAACAUUCUGGAUAAAACUUCUUCAACCACGAUAAAGAGAUAUGGGGAUAGGGGACCCCCUUGUCUCAAACCUCUUUCACCUUUGAAGAAACUUUUCAUAGUUCCAUUCAUCAUCACAGAAUACCAAGGAGAGGUUACACACUGUCUUACCAGAUCACAAAUCUUGGGCAAGAAACCAAAAGAUCUCAAAACGUGCAUAAGAAAAUCCCAAAUCAAUGCUGUCAUAUGCUUUGGCAAUAUCCACUUUAAGCACUACAUUUCCACCCCUUAUAGGCAUGUGAAUGUAAUGAAUCAUCUAUUGAGAUAGAGUAAUAUUAUCAAAAAUACUUCUCCCCGGAAUAAGAGCAACCAUAGAAAUAAUUCUUGGUAGAAUUAAAGCUAUUCUUUUAACCAGAAUUUUCGACCAUACCUUGUACAUUACUUAGCAUAGACGGAUUGGUUUGAACUUGUCAAAACUCGAAGGGGAAGCUAUCUUCGAAAUUAACACCACAUAGGAUGAUGAGUAAAAUCUUGAAAUAUCUGUACCUUAAAAGAAAUCGCACACUGCCUCCACAACAUCUUCACCUACAAUGUCCCAACAAGAUUUAUAGAAGCCAGAGCCAAAUCCAUCAG
rnacentral:lncRNA from 1 species